rnacentral:rRNA from 1 species
UCCGGAGUUAGCGGCGGACGGGUGAGUAACACGUAGGUAACCUGCCCCUUAGACUGGGAUAACUCCGGGAAACCGGAGCUAAUACGGGAUAAUAAAGAGAAUCGCCUGAUUUUCUUUUGAAAGACGGCGUCUAGCUGUCACUAAGGGAUGGACCUGCGGCGCAUUAGCUAGUUGGUAAGGUAACGGCUUACCAAGGCGACGAUGCGUAGCCGACCUGAGAGGGUGAUCGGCCACACUGGGACUGAGACACGGCCCAGACUCCUACGGGAGGCAGCAGUAGGGAAUCUUCCGCAAUGGACGAAAGUCUGACGGAGCAACGCCGCGUGAGUGAGGAAGGCCUUCGGGUCGUAAAGCUCUGUUGUGAGGGAAGAACAAGUGCCGGCGUAACUACCGGCACCUUGACGGUACCUCACCAGAAAGCCACGGCUAACUACGUGCCAGCAGCCGCGGUAAUACGUAGGUGGCAAGCGUUGUCCGGAAUUAUUGGGCGUAAAGCGCGCGCAGGCGGCUUCUUAAGUCUGAUGUGAAAUCUCGGGGCUCAACCCCGAGCGGCCAUUGGAAACUGGGGAGCUUG